GAUUAACGCUAGCGGCAGGCCUAUCACAUGCAUGUCGAGGGGCAGCGGGGGUAGCAAUACCUGCCGGCGACCGGCGCACGGGUGAGUAACGCGUAUGCAAUCUACCAUAUACUGAGGAAUAACCCGGAGAAAUCCGGACUAAUACCUCAUGGUUGUAUGAACUGGCAUCGGUUUAUAAAUAAAGGAGCAAUUCGGUAUAUGAUGAGCAUGCGUAUCAUUAGAUAGUUGGUAAGGUAACGGCUUACCAAGUACACGAUGCUUAGGGGUUCUGAGAGGAUUCCCCCCCACACGGGGACUGAGACACGGCCCAGACUCCUACGGGGGGAAGCAGUGAGGAAUAUUGGUCAAUGGUCGAAAGACUGAACCAGCCAUGCCGCGUUGAGGAUGACGGCCCUACGGGUUGUAAACUGCUUUUGUUCGAGAACAAUAAGCGCUACGUGUAGUGUGAUGAGUGUACCGAAUGACUAAUCACCGGCUAACUCCGCGCCAGCAGCCGCCGUAA
rnacentral:rRNA from 1 species